rnacentral:rRNA from 1 species
AAUGAACGUUGGCGGCGGGGAUUAGGCAUGCAAGUCGAGCGAGAACCGCGCAAGGGGGGACAGCUGCGUAAGGGGCGGUAAUGGGUAGAUUAUCUGCCCUCAGGUCGGGGAUAGGUGGGGGAAACUGCAGGUAAUACCGGAUAACAUCUCCGUAUCGAAGGUGUGAUUCCGCCUGAGGAUUAGUCGGCAUACUAUUAGCUAGUUGGUGGGGUAAUGGACUACCAAGGCAUUGAUGGGUAGCAGGUGUGAGAGCACGACCUGCGUCAUUGGGACGGAGACACUGAGACGACACCGACGGGCAGCUGCAGUCGAGACUCUUCGGUAAUGGGAGCAAGGCUGAACGAGCGACGCGGCGUGUGGGAUGAAGGCCUUCGGGUUGUAAACCACUGUCAGAGGGGAAGAAAUGCAGGUGGGUUCUCCCAUCUGUUUGACAUAGCCUCAGAGGAAGGACCGGCUAAGUUCGUG